rnacentral:tRNA from 1 species
UCCCCGGUAGCUCAAUGGUAGAGCACUCGACUGUUAAUCGAAUGGUUGUAGGUUCGAAUCCUACCCGGGGAG